CAUACACUGAAGGACAAGUUUCAUCAUGAAACUGCUUGCCUAAUUGUUCUCUUGGUCACGUGUGUUUUGUUUGCCAGUUUGCCGCAGGCUGAAGCCCAGUACGAUAACUAUCUACCUGCUGGUAAUAAUUGUGCGUGCAGAAAUCAGUGCUACCCAGGAGAGUGGCAAUCGGGUAGAUGUUCUUGGAAUAGAAUCAGAUGUUGCAGAAGGGGUAACACCAACUAUUAGAAGUUAGCCGACCAUAAGGAACCCAUGAAGUUGGAUUAUUGAGUCAUCGAAUUAUACAAUAAAGUUCAAGUUAU